rnacentral:lncRNA from 1 species
GCCAAACACACCAAAAAGCUAGCAUACAUUCCAAAGAAAGCUAUUAUAUUGGUUAGUCGGGUAAGACUUGCUGAGUACCCCGUACUCAGGGUUUUCCCCUUGUGGCUAUCUUUCAGAAGCUCCGCAGGAGUCUACAGAGGAGGAGACCCCGAAGUCCUAGGGUAUUGUCCUGAGUCUCACAAUACCCCUAGAGAAGAAGUUUUACAUGCACAUCUUCUCCUAAACUGUUUAUGUUUAAGUCUUAGAACUCUGUCUAACCCUGCACCGCUAAGUUUGCUUCAAUCUAUGUUCUGUAAUAACUCGUACCUUCUAUAUGUAUGUAAAAAUGUAAUGUUUGUUGAUGUUAUCCCAUCGCGGAUACUAUCCUGAUGUAUGGCUAUGAGACACGUCGUGGAUUUUUCGAGGAGUCCUAGGGACACUCGACGGACUACCGGACUUAUGCUAUUUUAGGUGCGUUUCGGAUAAUUGCUGUUCCGACAGCGAUUAGGCGCACUUAAACCAGCUUAAGUUGGGUGGUUCCGCCACAGUGCGGUCGUACAUGGGUACUUGUGAUAGGUCGCGUCGGGGGCAUGGGUACCUUUCUGCGCGCUAGAGCCGCGAUGCAUUUAUGGCGAGCUCUACAGGGGACCCACGAGAUCCGUGCCCUGAUCUUCCAGUCCACGCCCAAGGCGGAUAUUUGUCUUAUGGGCCCGGAUGAGUCCGACCCCCUGCGCCCUGGGUCGGGUGAGGUGGAAUCUUAUGGUGGGGGGUCGGGCGCUCCGGACCCUGAGCCCGUGGGUUGGGCGAGGCGGAGUUUGGCCAUCAAGGGAUCGGGAGCGUCCGACCCCGGGACACUGGGUCGGGCAAGGUGGAGCGUGGCUCUCCCCUCCCGUGUUGGGCCGACGGCAGUCUUUAUUACCUUAGGUAGGCUUGGGCCUUUAUGAUUGUUGAUUUAAUGGGCUUUAGGAGGUCGUUAAUAUUUCCCCCCAACACUAGUAGAACCACCUCUUGGAGCCUACAAAUAGAGAGGCACCCCCUCAAUUCCAAGACGCACCACAAGUUGAAUCACUCUCUCCCUCUUAGUUUCCAAGUUAGUGGAGUUAGGCUAGAGUAGCUCUACUUCAGGUUAUAGGUUUCCUUGGAGUCUAUGGUAUGGAUCUUGUAUCUUACUUUCCUAGGUUGACUUUUUUUCUAUUCAAAGUAUUCAUCUUCUUUAUAUAGUUGGUGAUACAAUCUAAGAUUUUCCUACCUUCGGCAAGAGUCCUAUGGGCAAAUGACCCUCCAACGGUAACAUCAAGGUACAUGGCGAUUCCUUGUCGAGACCCGUGCUGAAAUGCUCAAGCAACACAUGUUCGGGUAUCG